rnacentral:rRNA from 1 species
AGAGUUUGAUCAUGGCUCAGAUUGAACGCUGGCGGCAUGCCUAACACAUGCAAGUCGAACGGAAACGAUGGGAGCUUGCUCCCAGGCGUCGAGUGGCGGACGGGUGAGUAAUGCUUAGGAAUCUGCCCAUGUAGUGGGGGACAACCUGGUGAAAACCAGGCUAAUACCGCAUAAGCCCUUCGGGGGAAAGCAGGGGAUCUUCGGACCUUGCGCUAUUGGAUGAGCCUAAGUCGGAUUAGCUUGUUGGUGGGGUAACGGCCUACCAAGGCGACGAUCCGUAGCUGGUCUGAGAGGAUGAUCAGCCACACUGGGACUGAGACACGGCCCAGACUCCUACGGGAGGCAGCAGUGGGGAAUAUUGGACAAUGGGGGCAACCCUGAUCCAGCAAUGCCGCGUGUGUGAAGAAGGCCUGCGGGUUGUAAAGCACUUUCAGUAGCGAGGAAAAGCUCAAGGUUAAUAACCUUGAGUCUUGACGUUAACUACAGAAGAAGCACCGGCUAACUCUGUGCCAGCAGCCGCGGUAAUACAGAGGGUGCGAGCGUUAAUCGGAAUUACUGGGCGUAAAGCGCGCGUAGGCGGUUUGUUAAGUCGGAUGUGAAAUCCCCGGGCUCAACCUGGGAACUGCAUUCGAAACUGGCAGGCUAGAGUAUGGUAGAGGGAAGUGGAAUUCCGGGUGUAGCGGUGAAAUGCGUAGAUAUCCGGAGGAACAUCAGUGGCGAAGGCGGCUUCCUGGACCAAUACUGACGCUGAGGUGCGAAAGCGUGGGGAGC